GCUCGUUUAACACCCCCCCGGCUGAAUGAUUAAUUCGCUUCCUCAUUGGUCCUUGCAGUUUAACUUAGCGUUAUUACCUCUUGUCAGUUUGCCACUCACUCAAAUUCCCAGCCACAGUACAUUAUCCACGUAGAGCGUUGGUAACACGUAUUGAGGAUGCCACGGAGAAAACGUGAGGAAGAGGUGCCACACACAACAAACAAACGACCCAAGAUGUCUGGUCCAAGAGAGCAUAUCAAAGGAUCAGAUACAGGCAGUGAAAUACACCAGCUGAAAUUACCAUGCAGUGAUCCAUUUCCUCCAACUACCUACUACCUUGGUGACAGUUUCGAUGAUGCUCUGACAUAUUUUACACAAGGUACAGAAUAACAAACACUUUACAAGUAUUUACAGACUCUGUGUCUUGCGAAUGAAUAUCAUACUUACAAGAUUCAAGCACAGAUAUUCCGUAAUUCUGU